rnacentral:other from 1 species
GCACUCCUGCGGUGUUCGACGACCUCCCGGUUCCCCUUGAGCCUAAUUACGUAAACCGGGGUGGGAAGCGUCGCAGGUGAGUAUGCCCGCCCUGGCUGCGGGAAACCUAAUGCGGCGUGGAACGCCCCACUUGAGCAUUCGUCUCAAGGAUAGUGGACGGUCGACGGCACAGGCGGGAGUGGC